AGCAGCCGCGGUAAUUCCAGCUCCAAUAGCGUAUAUUAAAGUUGUUGCAGUUAAGAAGCUCGUAGUUGAAUUUCGGGAUUAGUGCCCUGGUCAUGUCUUUGGUAUGUACUGGUGUUACUGAUUUCUACCUUCUGAAGAACCGUUAUGUCAUUUAUUUGGUGUGGCGGGGAAUCAGGACUGUUACUUUGAAAAAUUAGAGUGUUUAAAGCAGGCUCGCGCUUGAAUACNUUAGCAUGGAAUAAUGAAAUAGAACGUUUGACCCUAUUUGUUGGUUUCUAGGAUCGACGUAACGAUUAAUAAGGAUAGUUGGGGCAUUAGUAUUCAAUUGUCAGAGGUGAAAUUCUUGGAUUUAUUGAAGACUAACUACUGCGAAAGCAUUUGACC
rnacentral:rRNA from 1 species